GAGAAANAGCUACCACCUCUAAGGAAGGCAGCAGGCGCGCAAAUUACCCACUCCCGGCACGGGGAGGUAGUGACGAAAAAUAACGAUACGGAACUCAUACGAGGCUCCGUAAUCGGAAUGAGUACACUUUAAAUCCUUUAACGAGGAUCUAUUGGAGGGCAAGUCUGGUGCCAGCAGCCGCGGUAAUUCCAGCUCCAAUAGCGUAUAUUAAAGUUGCUGUGGUUAAAAAGCUCGUAGUUGGAUCUCGGUUUCGGAUGAUCGGUGCACCUUGCGGKGKUUACUGGUUGUUCGGACSAUUUUGUUGGUUCGUUCAUAGUUGUCUUAACCGAUUGCUAUGAGUGGCCAGCACGUUUACUUUGAAAAAAUUGGAGUGCUCAAAGCAGGCGCUCCAGCCUGAACAUUAGUGCAUGGAAUAAUGGAAUAAGAUCUCGAUUUUAUUUCGUUGGCUUUCGAAGUCGAGGUAAUGAUUAAUAGGGACAGACGGGGGCAUUCGUACUGCGACGUUAGAAGGUGAAAUUCUUGGAUCGUCGCAAGACGAACUACUGCGAAAGCAUUUGCCAAGAAUGUUUUCAUUAAUCAAGAACGAAAGUUAGAGGUUCGAAGGCGAUCAGAUACCGCCCUAGUUCUAACCAUAAACGAUGUCGACCAGCGAUCCGUAGUCGUUAAAUGUAUGACUCUACGGGCAGCUUCUGGGAAACCAAAGUUUUUGGAUUCCAGGGGGAGUAUGGUUGCAAAGCUGAAACUUAAAAGAAUUGACGGAAGGGCACCACCAGGAGUGGAGCCUGCGGCUUAAUUUGACUCAACACGGGAAAUCUCACCAGGCCCGGACACCGGAAGGAUUGACAGAUUGAGAGCUCUUUCUUGAUUCGGUGGGUGGUGGUGCAUGGCCGUUCUUAGUUGGUGGAGCGAUUUGUCUGGUUAAUUCCGAUAACGAACGAGACUCUGGCCUACUAACUAGACAAUGUAUCCUUCGGGGUUCAUUGCAGCUUCUUAGAGGGACGGGCGGCUUAUAGCCGCACGAGAAUGAGCAAUAACAGGUCUGUGAUGCCCUUAGAUGUUCUGGGCUGCACGCGCGCUACACUGAAGAAAUCAACAUGUCUUCCCUAUCCGAAAGGAUUGGGUAAUCCGUUGAAACUUCUUCGUGAUGGGGAUUGGAGAUUGCAAUUAUUCUCCAUGAACGAGGAAUUCCCAGUAGGUGCCAGUCAUAAGCUGGCGCCGAUUACGUCCCUGCCCUUUGUACACACCGCCCGUCGCUACUACCGAUCGAGUGAUUUAGUGAGGACUUCGGACUGGUCUUCGAUGUGGCUUUCGGGUCGUGUCGGAGUGCCGGAAAGAUGCCCAAACUUGAUUACUUAGAGGAAGUAAAAGUCGUAACAAGGUUUCC
rnacentral:rRNA from 1 species